UACAGAGGGGGCAAGCGUUGUUCGGAAUUACUGGGCGUAAAGGGUCUGUAGGUGGCUUGCUAAGUCAGACGUGAAAUCCCUCAGCUUAACUGGGGAACUGCGUCUGAGACUGGCGAGCUUGAGGGCAGGAGAGGAACGCGGAAUUCCAGGUGUAGCGGUGAAAUGCGUAGAUAUCUGGAGGAACACCGGUGGCGAAGGCGGCGUUCUGGACUGCAUCUGACACUGAAAGACGAAAGCCAGGGGAGCAAACGGG
rnacentral:rRNA from 1 species